rnacentral:rRNA from 1 species
UUAAGUUAUUAAGGGCGCACGGUGGAUGCCUUGGCACUAGAAGCCGAUGAAGGACGUUACUAACGACGAUAUGCUUUGGGGAGCUGUAAGUAAGCUUUGAUCCAGAGAUUUCCGAAUGGGGAAACCCAGCAUGAGUUAUGUCAUGUUAUCGAUAUGUGAAUACAUAGCAUAUCAGAAGGCACACCCGGAGAACUGAAACAUCUUAGUACCCGGAGGAAGAGAAAGAAAAUUCGAUUCCCUUAGUAGCGGCGAGCGAAACGGGAAGAGCCCAAACCAACAAGCUUGCUUGUUGGGGUUGUAGGACACUCUAUACGGAGUUACAAAGGACGACAUUAGACGAAUCAUCUGGAAAGAUGAAUCAAAGAAGGUAAUAAUCCUGUAGUCGAAAAUGUUGUCUCUCUUGAGUGGAUCCUGAGUACGACGGAGCACGUGAAAUUCCGUCGGAAUCUGGGAGGACCAUCUCCUAAGGCUAAAUACUCUCUAGUGACCGAUAGUGAACCAGUACCGUGAGGGAAAGGUGAAAAGCACCCCGGAAGGGGAGUGAAAUAGAACCUGAAACCGUGUGCUUACAAGUAGUCAGAGCCCGUUAAUGGGUGAUGGCGUGCCUUUUGUAGAAUGAACCGGCGAGUUACGAUUUGAUGCAAGGUUAAGCAGUAAAUGUGGAGCCGUAGCGAAAGCGAGUCUGAAUAGGGCGUUUAGUAUUUGGUCGUAGACCCGAAACCAGGUGAUCUACCCUUGGUCAGGUUGAAGUUCAGGUAACACUGAAUGGAGGACCGAACCGACUUACGUUGAAAAGUGAGCGGAUGAACUGAGGGUAGCGGAGAAAUUCCAAUCGAACCUGGAGAUAGCUGGUUCUCUCCGAAAUAGCUUUAGGGCUAGCCUCAAGUGAUGAUUAUUGGAGGUAGAGCACUGUUUGGACGAGGGGCCCCUCUCGGGUUACCGAAUUCAGACAAACUCCGAAUGCCAAUUAAUUUAACUUGGGAGUCAGAACAUGGGUGAUAAGGUCCGUGUUCGAAAGGGAAACAGCCCAGACCACCAGCUAAGGUCCCAAAAUAUAUGUUAAGUGGAAAAGGAUGUGGCGUUGCCCAGACAACUAGGAUGUUGGCUUAGAAGCAGCCAUCAUUUAAAGAGUGCGUAAUAGCUCACUAGUCGAGUGACACUGCGCCGAAAAUGUACCGGGGCUAAACAUAUUACCGAAGCUGUGGAUUGUCCUUUGGACAAUGGUAGGAGAGCGUUCUAAGGGCGUUGAAGCAUGAUCGUAAGGACAUGUGGAGCGCUUAGAAGUGAGAAUGCCGGUGUGAGUAGCGAAAGACGGGUGAGAAUCCCGUCCACCGAUUGACUAAGGUUUCCAGAGGAAGGCUCGUCCGCUCUGGGUUAGUCGGGUCCUAAGCUGAGGCCGACAGGCGUAGGCGAUGGAUAACAGGUUGAUAUUCCUGUACCACCUAUAAUCGUUUUAAUCGAUGGGGGGACGCAGUAGNAUAGGCGAAGCGUGCGAUUGGAUUGCACGUCUAAGCAGUAAGGCUGAGUAUUAGGCAAAUCCGGUACUCGUUAAGGCUGAGCUGUGAUGGGGAGAAGACAUUGUGUCUUCGAGUCGUUGAUUUCACACUGCCGAGAAAAGCCUCUAGAUAGAAAAUAGGUGCCCGUACCGCAAACCGACACAGGUAGUCAAGAUGAGAAUUCUAAGGUGAGCGAGCGAACUCUCGUUAAGGAACUCGGCAAAAUGACCCCGUAACUUCGGGAGAAGGGGUGCUCUUUAGGGUUAACGCCCAGAAGAGCCGCAGUGAAUAGGCCCAAGCGACUGUUUAUCAAAAACACAGGUCUCUGCUAAACCGUAAGGUGAUGUAUAGGGGCUGACGCCUGCCCGGUGCUGGAAGGUUAAGAGGAGUGGUUAGCUUCUGCGAAGCUACGAAUCGAAGCCCCAGUAAACGGCGGCCGUAACUAUAACGGUCCUAAGGUAGCGAAAUUCCUUGUCGGGUAAGUUCCGACCCGCACGAAAGGCGUAACGAUUUGGGCACUGUCUCAACGAGAGACUCGGUGAAAUCAUAGUACCUGUGAAGAUGCAGGUUACCCGCGACAGGACGGAAAGACCCCGUGGAGCUUUACUGUAGCCUGAUAUUGAAAUUCGGCACAGCUUGUACAGGAUAGGUAGGAGCCUUUGAAACGUGAGCGCUAGCUUACGUGGAGGCGCUGGUGGGAUACUACCCUAGCUGUGUUGGCUUUCUAACCCGCACCACUUAUCGUGGUGGGAGACAGUGUCAGGCGGGCAGUUUGACUGGGGCGGUCGCCUCCUAAAAGGUAACGGAGGCGCUCAAAGGUUCCCUCAGAAUGGUUGGAAAUCAUUCAUAGAGUGUAAAGGCAUAAGGGAGCUUGACUGCGAGACCUACAAGUCGAGCAGGGUCGAAAGACGGACUUAGUGAUCCGGUGGUUCCGCAUGGAAGGGCCAUCGCUCAACGGAUAAAAGCUACCCCGGGGAUAACAGGCUUAUCUCCCCCAAGAGUUCACAUCGACGGGGAGGUUUGGCACCUCGAUGUCGGCUCAUCGCAUCCUGGGGCUGUAGUCGGUCCCAAGGGUUGGGCUGUUCGCCCAUUAAAGCGGUACGCGAGCUGGGUUCAGAACGUCGUGAGACAGUUCGGUCCCUAUCCGUCGUGGGCGUAGGAAAUUUGAGAGGAGCUGUCCUUAGUACGAGAGGACCGGGAUGGACAUACCUCUGGUGUACCAGUUGUCGUGCCAACGGCAUAGCUGGGUAGCUAUGUGUGGACGGGAUAAGUGCUGAAAGCAUCUAAGCAUGAAGCCCCCCUCAAGAUGAGAUUUCCCAACUUCGGUUAUAAGAUCCCUCAAAGAUGAUGAGGUUAAUAGGUUCGAGGUGGAAGCAUGGUGACAUGUGGAGCUGACGAAUACUAAUCGAUCGAAGACUUAAUCAA